rnacentral:tRNA from 2 species
UAGAAAGUAAUAUAAAGGAAGUAUGGAGGGUUUUGAUCCCUUUAGUGUGGGUUCGAUUCCUGCCUUUCUAA